CCGCUCCUGAAGAACAUGUAACAGUAGCUGAUGAUACAGUUGAUAUGCCACAAGCACAAGAGCCAGAAGUAGAAGAGAUGAAGAAUACUGAACCUGUUGAAGUGGAAGAAAACAUAUCAGCAAGUGACCUGCCAGCAGAAGAGGUGAAGAAGACUGAAGCGAUCAACGAGAGUGCUGAUGCAACCAUCAGCGAGCUCACAGAGGAGGUGAAAUGCAAUGUUGCUCUUGCAGACGAGGAACCUCAUGAAGAGCAUGUAACAGUAGCUGAGACAGCAGUUGAUGUACCACAAGCACAGGAGCUGGAACUAGAAGAGAUCAAGAAUACUGAACCUGUUGAGGUGGAAGAAAAGAUGUCAGCAAGUGACAUGCAGGCAGAAGAGGUGAAGGACACUGAAGCAAUCAACGAGAGCGCUGAUGCGAAAAUCAGUGAGCUCACUGAGGAUGUCAAACCUAAUGUUGCUCUUGCAGACGAGGCAGCUCCUGAAGAACAUGUAAUAGCAACUAAGGCAACAGUUGACAUACCACAAGCACAAGAUCCAGAACUAGAAGAAAUCAAGAAUACUGAACCUGUUGAAGUGGAAGAAAACAUAUCAGAGAGUGACCUGCGCGCAGAAGAGGUGAAGGACGCUGAAGCCAAAAAAACAGAAGCAAUCAAUGAGAGCACUGAUGCAAACAUCAGUGAGCUCACUGAGGAUGUGAAAAGUAAUGUUACUCGUGGAGAUGAGGCAGCUCCUGAAGAGCUUGUAACAGCAACCGAGGCAACAGUUGAUAUUCCACGAGCACAAGAGCCAGAACUAGAAGAGAUUGAGAAUGUUGAACCUGUUGAGGUGGAAGAAAACACAUCAGUGAGUGACAUGCCGGCAGAAGAGGUGAAGGACAUUGAAGCCAAGGAAACUGAUGCAAUCAAUGAGAGCAGUGAUGCAAACAUCAGUGAGCUUACUGAACAUAUGAAAAGCAACGUUGCUCUUAUAGAUGAGGCAGCUCAUGAAGAACAUGUAACAGUAGCCGAGACAACAGUCGAUCUACCACAAGCACAAGAGCCGGAGCUAGAAGAGAUCAAGAAUACUGAAGCAGGUGACCUGUCAGCAGAAGAGGUCCAGGAAAUUGAACCCAAGGAAACUGAAGCAAUCAGCGAAAUGACUGAUGCAAACAUCAGGGAGCUCAAUGAGGAUGUGAAAAGCAAUGUUGUUCUUGCAGACGAGGAACCUCAUGCAGAACAGGUAACAGUAGCUGAGAGAACAGUUGACAUACCACAAACACAGGAGCCAGAACUAGAAGAGAUCAAGAAUACUGAACCUGUUGAGGUGGAAGAAAAUAGAUCAGCACGUGACCUGCAAGCAGAAGAGGUGAGGGAAACUGAAGCAAUCAAUGAGAGCCCUGAUGCAAACAUUAGCGAGCUCACUGAGGAUGUGACAAGCAAUGUUGCUCCUGCGGACGAGGCAGCUGAGCAUGUAAUAGUAACUGAGGCAACAGUUGAUAUACCAGAAGCACAAGAGCCAAAACUAGAAGAGACCAAGAGUACUGAACCUGCUGAAGUAGAAGAAAACAUAUCAGCAAAUGAUCUGCCAGCAGAAGAGGUGAAGGAUACUGAAGCCGUGGAGACAGAAGCAAUCAACGAGAACACUGAUGCAAACACCAGUGAGCUCACUGAAGAUGUGAAGAACAAUGUUGCUCUUGCAGACGAGGCCGCUCCUGAAGAACAUGUAACAGUAGCUGAUGAUACAGUUGACAUGCCACAAGCACAAGAGCCAGAAGUAGAAGAGAUGAAGAAUACUGAACCUGUUGAAGUGGAAGAAAACAUAUCAGCAAGUGACCUGCCAGCAGAAGAGGUGAAGGACACUGAAGCAAUCAACGAGAGUGCUGACGCAAACAUCAGCGAGCUCACUGAGGAGGUGAAAUGCAAUGUUGCUC
rnacentral:lncRNA from 1 species